rnacentral:misc_RNA from 1 species
GAAAUGCGAUAAGUAAUGUGAAUUGCAGAAUUCAGUGAAUCAUCGAAUCUUUGAACGCACAUUGCGCCCGCCAGUAUUCUGGCGGGCAUGCCUGAUCGAGCGUCAUUUCAGCCAUCAAAACCCACGGGGUUGUGUUGGGAACCUGCGGCCGCCCCAGGCCCCGAAAAGCAGUGGCGGGCUCGCUGUCGCACCGAGCGUAGUAGCAAUCACCUCGCUCAGGGCGUGCCGUGGGCGCCGGCUGUUAAAACGACCAACUUAUACCCCCAAAGGUUGAACUCGGAUCAGGUAGGAAUACCCGCUGAACUUAA